UACGUAGGUGGCAAGCGUUGUCCGGAUUUAUUGGGUUUAAAGGGUGCGUAGGCGGCCUUGUAAGUCAGUGGUGAAAGCCUCCAGCUCAACUGGAGAACUGCCAUUGAUACUGCAAGGCUUGAGUACAGACGAGGUUGGCGGAAUUGAUUGUGUAGCGGUGAAAUGCAUAGAUACAAUCAAGAACUCCGAUUGCGUAGGCAGCUAACUAGGCUGUAACUGACGCUGAGGCACGAAAGCGUGGGGAGCGAACAGG
rnacentral:rRNA from 1 species